AACACAACACAAUCUUCAUCAUCACACAAGACACAACAACAACAAUGAACAACAUCCUCAUCCUCAUCUGGACCAUUGCAGCUUUUAUUCAAGAAUCCAGAGGAAUCACUGUGACUCAGCCUAAAGUUAAAACUGUCCAGCUCGGUCAAACAGCUACAAUAGAGUGUAGUCUGGAUGUAGGACUAACCUCUAAUGAUUUGGCCUGGUAUCAGCAGAAACCUGGAGAAGCUCCUAAACUCCUCAUAUAUGACAUAAACAGCCUCCAGUCAGGAACUCCAUCUAGAUUCAGUGGCAGUGGAUCUAACAGUGAUUUCACUCUCACCAUCAGUGGAGUCCAGACUGAAGAUACAGGAGAUUAUUACUGUCAGAGUUACCACAGCAUCAACAGUAAAGCUGUGUUCACACAGUGA